AAACCGGGGCUAAUACCGGAUACGAGCCUUGAUCGCAUGAUCGAGGCUGGAAAGUUUUUCGGUUGAAGAUGACCUCGCGGCCUAUCAGCUUGUUGGUGAGGUAAUGGCUCACCAAGGCGACGACGGGUAGCCGGCCUGAGAGGGCGACCGGCCACACUGGGACUGAGACACGGCCCAGACUCCUACGGGAGGCAGCAGUGGGGAAUAUUGGGCAAUGGAGGAAACUCUGACCCAGCGACGCCGCGUGCGGGAUGAAGGCCUUCGGGUUGUAAACCGCUUUCAGUAGGGAAGAAGCGAAAGUGACGGUACCUACAGAAGAAGCACCGGCUAACUAUGUGCCAGCAGCCGCGGUAAUACAUAGGGUGCAAGCGUUGUCCGGAAUUAUUGGGCGUAAAGAGCUCGUAGGUGGUUUGAUACGUCGGGUGUGAAAUUCAGGGGCUCAACCCCUGACCUGCAUUCGAUACGGUCAAGCUAGAGUUUGGUAGGGGAGACUGGAAUUCCUGGUGUAGCGGUGGAAUGCGCAGAUAUCAGGAGGAACACCGAUGGCGAAGGCAGGUCUCUGGGCCAAUACUGACACUGAGGAGCGAAAGCGUGGGGAGCGAACAGGAUUAGAUACCCUGGUAGUCCACGCCGUAAACGGUGGGCGCUAGUUGUGCGAACCUUCCACGG
rnacentral:rRNA from 1 species